GGAAAUGCGAUGAUCCAGGAGAAGUAUGUGUUUUCACCCCUCAGAGAGGUGCCGCCACCGGCUGUAAGCGGCGCUGGGUAAGAUUCGCAGAAAUGCACCUGGUAGCAGGAUGGCUGAACCUGAGUAAGCUGUCCCGGAUGCUGCCGUUAUCAGCAUAAAGCAGGGGUAUGUCAUACCCAAGCAGAGUGGAACCGCGGGCCACCGUCUCUGUA
rnacentral:ncRNA from 1 species